rnacentral:rRNA from 1 species
CAGCAGCCACGGUAACACGGAGGGCGCGAGCGUUACUCGGAAUUACUGGGCGUAAAGCGUGCGUAGGUGGUUGUUUAAGUCCGUUGUGAAAGCCCUGGGCUCAACCUGGGAAUUGCAGUGGAUACUGGGCAACUAGAGUGUGGUAGAGGAUAGUGGAAUUUCCGGUGUAGCAGUGAAAUGCGUAGAGAUCGGAAGGAACAUCUGUGGCGAAGGCGACUAUCUGGGCCAACACUGACACUGAGGCACGAAAGCGUGGGGAGCAAACAGGAUUAGAUACCCGUGUAGUCCCUGUCUCUUAUAC